rnacentral:rRNA from 1 species
GAUGAACGCUGGCGGCGUGCCUAAUACAUGCAAGUCGAGCGAACAGACGAGGAGCUUGCUCCUCUGACGUUAGCGGCGGACGGGUGAGUAACACGUGGAUAACCUACCUAUAAGACUGGGAUAACUUCGGGAAACCGGAGCUAAUACCGGCUCAUAUAUUGAACCGCAUGGAUCAAUAGUGAAAGACGGUUUUGCUGUCACUUAUAGAUGGAUCCGCGCCGCAUUAGCUAGUUGGUAAGGUAACGGCUUACCAAGGCAACGAUGCGUAGCCGAUCUGAGAGGGUGAUCGGCCACACUGGAACUGAGACACGGUCCAGACUCCUACGGGAGGCAGCAGUAGGGAAUCUUCCGCAAUGGGCGCAAGCCUGACGGAGCCACGCCGCGUGGGUGAUGAAGGUCUUCGGAUCGUAAAGCCCUUUUAUUAGGGAAGAACAAAUGUGUGAGUAACUAUGCCCGUCUUGACGGUACCCAAUCAGAAAGCCCCGGCUAACUUCGUG